UCUUCCCAACCGAAACAAUUGAUUGGAUCAUCGUAUUUUGUGGAGUUGGAAGUGGGUUGGUUGUUGGGAUUGCUAUCGGGAACAAUCUUCAUACAAGGUAUAGUCAUCAGAUCACAAAGAGGAAGGACACAUGGGUAAGGCCUCUUCGUAACACUAGGAGAAACCAAGGUAUAAUAAUUCGUUAAAUUACUUGAAGCUAUUUUUCAAGAUAAUAGUUUGUUAUGUGCAUGUGGUAUCAACCAAAUAGAAAAUGUUUUCGGCAUGUCAUCCAAAACAAUACAAUGCUUCUAUAUAUUUCUUAAUUAAAUUAAAGUAAUCGUAACAAUAUAUUUGUGAGACUAACUGGCAUACAUCUCAACUUUGUAUUAUCAACAAUUACUUGCUGUUUUUUUUUGUCAUUCAUCAACUUCAGUUAAGGUAUAUGUUAAGUCAAAUAUGCAUUUUAGCAAAUAAAGUCUUAUUAACAUAGUCAAUUUAAAAAUAUUAAUGAAUACAUCUUUCAAUUGUAUCCAGGAUAAGUUAUGUGUCGAGUCCAGUAGUUAAUUAUGUGAUACCAGUCUAUGUUUAAGCAUGGUUAUUGUUUAUAACAAGUUCAUUAAUAUUAUCUACGAGAAAAAUGUUAUUUGAGAUAGUACAUGCUUAAAGUAGGUUGUAUGUAAUCAAUAAUAUAACCACAGUUUUUGAGAUGCUCAUAUUACUAUUGUUUGAUGAAAUAUUUUCUAUAGAUAGAAAACUGUGAACUUCCUAGCAAUGAACUUAACUUAACAUGUGUCUGAGGAGGUAUCAUGGCUUAAAAUUCAAAGGAUAUGGAGAAGUUGUUGGAGACCUUAAUGGGAUUUCUGUAUGUUUUACCAUGUAGUAUGUGUAUAGUACGUAUAAGAUUCUAUUUGAGUAGACUUUCAGUGUAAUAUUUUUGAUUUAUUACUUAGUAACAGUUCGUUUGUUAAGGUUUUCCAUUUAUGAAGGCAUGAUCAUAGACUCUUAUGAUGUAAGCUAUUGGUAAGUAGUAACAACCUUAGAUUUGGGGUUGUGAUAUAUAGUAUGAAAGUCAUGUAUAUUAUAUAGUAGUUUAUAACCCGUGAGAACUACGGUUAUAAAAUUAAUUAAAUUUUUAUAUUAAAAACUCAAAAUUGUUAAUCAAUUAUUGUAAAUAAAUUAUUAGUGAAGAGAUAUUUUUUUAGUUAUAUAAAACUAUAAUCAUUGAUUUAAAUAAAUGCAUGAAGGUAUAUCACCUUAUAAUCUGUAUUAAUUUUAUUUUAUUUUUUAAUCUAAUUUUAUUAAUUUAAUAUAGUUAAAGUGAAAUUUUUAAAUUUUAAAUUCAAAAAUUGAGAAUCAAUUAUUAAUUUAAUGUAAUUAGAGUGAGAAAUUUAAAAUUGAUAUUAAUAAGUUGAUAAGUGGCAUGAUAGGUACAUAUGAUAUUAAUGAGGAAUUCUAAUAGUAUGAUACUUGUCAAUAGGAAAUUAAACCUAUUCAAUUAUUAGAAUAGGGACUAGGUUAUAAACUUGGGUACAUUACUUUGUUAACAAUUUAUAAUAAUAAAAAAUUCAUGAAAUAUUUAAAACCCCAUCACCUGAUCUCAAUUCUCAAUCAAUCAAACUCCUCCAGUUUGACAAUGUAUGUAAUUCACUAUGAUUUUAAUUAUCUGUUAGUUCAUUAAGUUAUAACCUUUGAGUAAAAAUAAAAAAGAACAGGGAUCAUCUUGUAUAUUUACACUAAAGUUAUAACCUUUUAUUAAAAGAUAAUAUAAAUUUGUAAAAUUGAUCUCUAUGGUAUAUUGCUUUUCCAAGUUUCAGUCCAAAGGUAAAAUAGUCAUUUAAAAAUUUUAAAGUUGAGUGGUUAAAUUUAACGAUUCAAUUGUUUAUUGAUCAGUUUUCACAAAGAAAACUUAUAGUGUUUUCAAAUGAACAUGAAAAUGAAGUCCAAUUUAUACUAAUCUUCUCCCAAGAGAAUGAUUUCCAGCCAAAAAUUCUAGUGGCAUGGUUCUAAAGUCAUUAUAGAUAGAAUCAAUCAUGUUGACAACUGUUUGUAUUUUUGGCUUGUUUUUGUCCAAAACAAUUUUUGUUGUAAGAUUCUUCUAUGGAAGAUGUUGAUCCCUCAAGUUUAAGUGGAUGAUAAUUGAUAUGGCCUAAAGUCUCAAAAGAUGAAGGGACUAUUAUACCCUUUGGAAGCAAUGCCUCUAAAAUCUGCAAUUUUUGCAUAAACAUGAUUCAAAACAUUCCAAGAAAUAAACUUUAUUAAAGGGUUCACAUUGAAUGCUAUACUUCAUAAUAGGGGCAAAUUUAGUUGGAAAUUUUUAUGGUUACAAUGGAUAGUUGGAUACCACAUUCAUUUGCCAAUAACUGAUUGGUAAAGCAAAGUCAGCUUGUGUCUCAUAAGUUCAAAAUGGUGAUCCUGUUAAGCAAGCCUAAAGAAAAUAGAUUAGAUGUUCAAGUAUUCCAUAUAAUCAACUCAUAAUUCAGGUAAAGUAAGAUGGAAUGAGAAUACCUUAAUUGCCUCAGGCAUUUCAUCGAAUGGCUUGUAUGUAUGUUUCUCAUCCAAAAACAAUAACCUUCUUCAGCCUUUCCAUUUUGCUAACCUUUACUCAAAUCCUCCACUUUCUCAUGUCACUUGCAUGAUU
rnacentral:lncRNA from 1 species